CUACCAGACUCCUACGGGAGGCAGCAGUGGGGAAUAUUGCACAAUGGGGGGAACCCUGAUGCAGCGAUGCCGCGUGGAGGAAGAAGGUUUUCGGAUUGUAAACUCCUUUUAUCAGGGACGAUAAUGACGGUACCUAAAGAAAAAGCUCCGGCUAACUACGUGCCAGCAGCCGCGGUAAUACGGAGGAUGCGAGCGUUAUCCGGAUUUAUUGGGUUUAAAGGGUGCGUAGGCGGACGCUUAAGUCAGCGGUAAAAUUGCGGGGCUCAACCUCGUCGAGCCGUUGAAACUGGGUGCCUUGAGUGGGCGAGAAGUACGCGGAAUGCGUGGUGUAGCGGUGAAAUGCAUAGAUAUCACGCAGAACUCCGAUUGCGAAGGCAGCAUACCGGCGCCCAACUGACGCUGAAGCACGAAAGCGUGGGUAUCGAACAGGAUUAGAUACCCGGGUA
rnacentral:rRNA from 1 species